rnacentral:rRNA from 1 species
AUUGAACGCUGGCGGCAUGCUUUACACAUGCAAGUCGAACGGUAACAGGCCGCAAGGUGCUGACGAGUGGCGAACGGGUGAGUAAUGCAUCGGAACGUGCCCAGUCGUGGGGGAUAACUACUCGAAAGAGUAGCUAAUACCGCAUACGAUCUAUGGAUGAAAGCGGGGGACCGUAAGGCCUCGCGCGAGUGGAGCGGCCGAUGUCAGAUUAGGUAGUUGGUGGGGUAAAGGCUCACCAAGCCAACGAUCUGUAGCUGGUCUGAGAGGACAACCAGCCACACUGGGACUGAGACACGGCCCAGACUCCUACGGGAGGCAGCAGUGGGGAAUUUUGGACAAUGGGCGCAAGCCUGAUCCAGCAAUGCCGCGUGCAGGAAGAAGGCCUUCGGGUUGUAAACUGCUUUUGUACGGAACGAAACGGCUCUGGUUAAUACCCGGGGCUAAUGACGGUACCGUAAGAAUAAGCACCGGCUAACUACGUG